GGUGGAGAUGCUGGAAAAAACUCCAUCAGGAGAAAAAAACUUACCCUGGUGACGUCCCUCCAGAAAUGGAUCCUUCUCCUUCAAGUACAGAAGAUGAGUUUCUACCCAAGCGAUACUCCAACAGGCGGCUGUUGUAGACUGCAAAACCCAUCAAAAGGUAAAGAUCCUGUUUUCAGAGGAAACCGAAGAACGGAUCAAGCAACAACAUGGAUAGCUCUAAUGGACUCAGAAGAGGCUUCCUUCAAGCAGUUGUGUUGGUUUCCAUACAUGCAACCAUCGCUGGAAGUCCAUUUUAAUAUCCAAAAUCUGGAUAGCUGGAGAACAUUUAAACUAAACUGUCUGGUGGAUUCAUUUUGAUAGAUCCUGCUUUUUAGACUGCUUUUUAAUCUUUUCAAGGCAAUUUGCUUCGGCCACAACUUGGGCGAGGAGUGAAAAAAAGGUCUGUGUGUAUAUGGAAUCUUAUAUUUUAUUGUGGGGUAGGCAGUCCAAUAGCCAGACAUUGCAAGAUCCAUUACAUCAAGGACCUGUAUACAGGUCAAAAAGAGAGCUGAGAAAAUCUCUACCUAUCCCUCAUAUCCUGGACAUGAACUGUUUCAACUCCUCCCCUCAGGAUUUAUUUAUUUAUUUAUUUAUUUGUUUGUUUGUUUGUUUGUGUGUUUGUUUAGUUAGUCAAGCAUGUAUUAGAUAACAGAUAUAAGUAUAAACAUGAUUAUUAAUACAUGAAAUGGGUAAGAAUAAAAGGAGACAUUAGGACAGGGGUGGUAGGCACAUUGGUGCUCUUAUGCACGCCCCUUACAGACCGCUUAGGAGUGGGAUGAGAUCAACAGUAGACAGUCUAAGGUUAAAGUUUUGGGAGUUUGGGGCAGUGAUGGGUUGCCCCUAGUUUGGACCGGUUCUAUAGAACCGAUAAUAAAACCGGUGGGAGGCUCCGCCCACUGACCUGGAUGUCAUCAUAAGUGGUCUGCACAAAAGCGAGCAUGGGCAGACGGGCACGAUACAAAUCGGUAGUAAAGGUAAGUAGAACCCACCCCUGGUUUGGGGAAGAAACCAGAGUUAGGUAGUGAAUUCCAAGCAUUGACUACUCUGUUGCUGAAGUCGUAUUUCCUGCAAUCAAGUUUGGUGUGGUUUCAUGUAUUGUUUUGGUUUUAUGGUUUUAUGGUUUUAUUUGAUUUGUAUACCGCCCUACUCCCGAAGGACUCAGGGCGGUGAACAGCCAACAAUAAAAUACAUAAAUACACAAAAUUUAAAAACCCGAUAAAAUCAAAUUAAACUUUUUGGCCCAGACAAAUUAAAAUACCCCAAUAAUUUAAAAACAGAUUGAAAUUUACAUAUUUUAAAAAGGGAAGAGAUCAGGCCAAGCCCGCUUGAUGGAAUAAAAAGGUCUUCCCAGCACGGCGGAAGGAACGCAGAUCCGGGAUCCUCCAUAUCUCCGGGGGGAGCUCAUUCCAGAUGGUAGGUGCCCCCACAGAGAAGGCUCUCCCCCUAGGGGCUGCCAGUCGACACUGUUUGGCUGACGGCACCCUGAGGAGUCCCUCUCUAUGAGAGCGUACUGGCCGGUGGGAGGCUAUUGGUGGUAGUAAAUGUAUUGUGGUUGAAGCUGAAGUACUUAUUGACAGAUAGGACAUUGCAAUGGAUAAUUUUAUGUACUAUGCUUAGGUCAGACCGAAGGCGGCGUAGUUCUAAGUUGUCUAAGCCCAACAUUUCAAGUCUGGUGACAUAAGGUAUUCUAUUGCGAGCCGAGGAGUGGAGGAAUCCUCUCAUGAAAUAUCUCUGGACUCUCUCAAUUGUAUUAAUGUCUGAUAUGCAGUGCGGGUUCCAGACAGAUGAGCUGCAUUUGAGAAUUGGUCUAGCAAAUGUUUUGUAUGCUUUAAUUAGCAGUACAAUAUUACCAGAAAAGAAGCUACACAAGAUUAGAUUAACAACUCUUAAUGCCUUUUUGGCAAUUUUGUUGCAGUGAACUCUGGCACUUAGAUCAUUAGAGAUUGUUAGGAUGUUGCUAUAGCAGAGGUGGGUUGCUACCAGUUCUCCCCGGUUCUUGCGAACCGGUAGUGGAAAUUUUGAGUAGUUCAGAGAACCAAUAAAUACCACCUCUGCCUGGCCCCGCCCCCAAUCUAUUUGCUGCCUCCUGACUCCCAGCUGAUCAGCUAGAAGGAAAAAAUCAGGGCUCGCUUCUCAGCCAGGAGAUCACUUGGCAAAGAAGAAGGAAAAAAAAAAGAUGCCAUCACUUUAAAUUGACAAGCCAAGAAGCAGCUGCUGGAAGGAGGUUUUUGCUUGCAGAAGCGAAGUGACAUUCAGCAGUUCAUUUCUGGGUCAGCUGAACAACAAACUGGAUAAGAGGAGGUUCUUAUAUGGUUCUAUGUUUUUGAAGUUUUGGGGUUUGUGCAAUAUGGGCUUUGUGUUUCUAAAAAGAUUUGGGCAAUUUCCAUUGUGAAAUAUCCUGCCUUGAAUGAGUUUUCUGCCUGCUUGUAAAUGGAGCCAAACUUCUGGCUUCCACUUUCUAUUAACUCUAAGCACUGGUAGCUGUUUUCUUCUUACAAAGUUUCCUUUAUGCAGCUGGCAGGAAUAUGGAAUGAAAAGCAUCUGUGGUAUGUAAUUUCAGUUAGGGAAAUCAAUCAGCUCCAUCAGUUCUCCUUCCCACCUGCUCAUGGCAACUUGAAACCUCUGCAAGUUGACACCAAGUACUAAAUAAACAUCUGUGCCAAUACAAGGGGGAGGGCUUUCUUCACAGCUUUACAAGUUUUGGUUUGGGGAAGUUAUAGAAAAAAUAGAUACAUUAUUUUUUUGUAGUUAAAUUGUAUAAUGUUUUUAUUUAAACAGGAAAAUGAAGUUGGGGGGGAGCACCAUGUCUACUUUUGUUAAAGUAUAGGUACUUUACUUUCGACCCUAACUGAGCCCAAAAUUUAUAUUGCUAAGCGAGGCAGUUGUUAAGUGAAUUCUGCCCUAUUUUAUGGCCUUUUUUGCCACAAUUGUUAAGUGAAUCUCUGCAAUUGUUAAGCUAGUAACGUGGUUGUUAAGUGAAUAUGGCUUCCCCAUUGAUUUUGCUUGUCAGAAGGUCAAUAGAGGUUGAUCAUAUGACUGUGGGACUUUUAUAGAUCAUUACAGCCACAAGGGCAUUUAUUAUUAGUAUGCCUUUUGAGCAUAGCAAGUAUUUAUUAAAAGUAGCAGCUUUGUUAAGAUA